rnacentral:rRNA from 1 species
UUGGUGAGGUAAUAGCUCACCAAGGCUAAGACGGGUAGCUGGUGUGAGAGCACGGUCAGCCACCGCGGAACUGAGACACGGUCCGCACUCCUACGGGAGGCAGCAAUUAGGAAUCUUGCGCAAUGGGGGCAACCCUGACGCAGCGACACAGCGUGGAGGAGGAAGGUCUUCGGAUUGUAAACUCCUUUUAUAUGGGAAGAAUAGAUGACGGUACCAUAUGAAUAAGGACCUGCUAACUACGUGCCAGAAGCAUCGGUAAUGCGUAGGGUCCAAACGUUAUCCGGAUUUACUGGGCGUAAAGAGAUGCGUAGGCGGUUUGAUAAGUCUUGAGUUAAAUACUUCGGCUCAACCGAAGAGAAGCUUUCGAAACUAUCAGACUUGAGACAUAGAGGGGUGAACGGAAUUCCGAGUGGAGUGGUGAAAUACGUUGAUAUUCGGAGGAACAUCAGUGGCGAAGGCGGUUCACUGGCUAUUGUCUGACGCUAAGGCUCGAAAGCGUGGGUAGCAAAACGGAUUAGAUACCCGUGUAGUCCACGCUGUAAAUGAUGGAUGCUAGGUGUUUGGUAGGACUACUUUCUUUCUUCGGAUUUAAGGUGGAAUU